rnacentral:rRNA from 1 species
GACGAACGCUGGCGGCAGGCCUAACACCUGCAAGUCGAACGAGUGGCGGACGGGUGAGUAAUGUCUGGGAAACUGCCCGAUGGUGGGGGAUAACUACUGGAACCGGUAGCUAAUACCGCAUACCAUCGGAUGUGCCCAGAUGGGAUUAGCUAGUAGGUGGGGUAACGGCUCACCAAGGGGACGGUACCUAGCUGGUCUGAGAGGAUGACCAUGCACACUGGAGCUGAGAAACGGUGCAGACUACUACGGGAGGCAGCAGUGGGGAAUAGUGCACAAUGGGCGAAAGACGGAUGCAGCCAUGCCGCGUGUAUGUGGAAGGCCUUCGGGUUGUAAAGUACUUUCGGCGAGGAGGCGUUACUCUCAGAAGAAGCACCGGGUAACGCCGUGCUGGCAGCCGCGGGAAUAC